GGGAGCUCGAGGGAGAAAAGGGGGAGACGAGAGACUGAGAAACAGGGGAAGGGGGGAGUAGCGCUGGUGGGUGUCUCUGCCACCGUGGCUGCUGUUGCUGUCGAAUAGAAGAGGGAGGGAGGCUGUCGCACUUCUAGCUGCCGCUGAAGCUCCCCUCACCACUGUCAACGUUGGUUAGGGCAGAGGAGAAGAGGAAGAAUAACGGAGAAGUGAGACUGACGGGGAGGGUAAUACGGUUGUUGUUGAUUUGGAGCUGCUACAAGAACGGCGUUUCCUGCUUCUAAUCGCUGUCCUUUUGAUUUUUGGAGCUGCCGUGGAUGGAGCUUGUAAUCAGAGAAAGCAAGCUGCUGUCACCAACUCUUAAUUCAGCCAGUGUCUUCCUCCUUGUUCUGAUUUCAAUUUUCCUAUUUUUGAAACCCCCCUUUCUGGCACCUAUUUCCUGUUACAAUUAGGUCGAGUAUUGAAGCUGGUGCUGCCAUGGGACGGUUGAAGCUGUUACUGAUUCUGAUUUUGCUAUCUGGAGCUGAAAUUGCUUUGGAUUCUUAUCCAAUUUGAAUCCUCUAUCUUACUGCAACCAUGGUCAGUGCUGCGAAGGCUAAUAUUGUUGCUGUUCCGGUUGCGUGAGAGUUACCGCUGCUGCCUUGAAACUAAAAGAGAAGAGAGUUGUUACGUUAAAGUAUGCGAUUGCGACAUCGAGUGACACAGGUUUGAAGACGCAAUUUGAAGCUGCGAGCGAUUAGUAGGUUUUCUCUAUGGUUUUAAUUGCUUUCAUAGAGUCCCCUCGCUCUUUUCCUUUGAAGUUUUAUUUUAUCAGAGGGGUAGGUGUUGUAUUUGGGUUUAUAUGACUUCCUAUGUAUAAGAGUUACUAUUAAUAAUACUUAUAUGAUUGUUAUUAUUA